CCUACGGGGGGCAGCAGUGGGGAAUAUUGGACAAUGGGCGAAAGCCUGAUCCAGCCAUGCCGCGUGUGUGAAGAAGGCCUUCGGGUUGUAAAGCACUUUCAGUGGGGAAGAAAGCCUUGGGGCUAAUACCCUCGAGGAAGGACAUCACCCACAGAAGAAGCACCGGCUAACAUCCGUGCCAGCAGCCGCGGUAAUACGGAGGGUGCGAGCGUUAAUCGGAAUUACUGGGCGUAAAGCGCGCGUAGGCGGUCUGAUAAGCCGGUUGUGAAAGCCCCGGGCUCAACCUGGGAACGGCAUCCGGAACUGUCAGGCUAGAGUGCAGGAGAGGAAGGUAGAAUUCCCGGUGUAGCGGUGAAAUGCGUAGAGAUCGGGAGGAAUACCAGUGGCGAAGGCGGCCUUCUGGACUGACACUGACGCUGAGGUGCGAAAGCGUGGGUAGCAAACAGGAUUAGAUACCCGGGUAGUC
rnacentral:rRNA from 1 species